rnacentral:rRNA from 1 species
UACGUAGGGGGCAAGCGUUGUCCGGAUUUAUUGGGCGUAAAGAGCGUGUAGGCGGCUAGAUAGGUCCGUUGUGAAAACUCGAGGCUCAACCUCGAGACGUCGAUGGAAACCAUCUGGCUAGAGUCCGGAAGAGGAGAGUGGAAUUCCCGGUGUAGCGGUGAAAUGCGCAGAUAUCGGGAGGAACACCAAUGGCGAAGGCAGCUCGCUGGGACGUGACUGACGCUGAGACGCGAAAGCGUGGGGAGCAAACAGG